UACAGGAUCACUUCUAUAGUGAUUUCUCCUGUCUAGUCAUACCCAAAUAUGACAGAUCUACCAACCUGGACGAUGACCGUAAAGGUACGAUCACUUAGCGUGAGGCUGGAACUCAUUGUAUGAACACAAUGGGCUUCCACGAUGACCGUAUCACUUGCUAUCAUUCCAGCUUGUGAUUGUGAUCGUAUCAGUCUGACAGGU
rnacentral:snoRNA from 1 species